AUGCCCAGUGAUUAUAAAAAGACGCGUUAUUCUGAGGAACAAAACCUGCUACCAGUCUUUCCUCUACCUUGUGCUCUACCUUUUAUCUACAUCUUUCUUUUAUUCUUCCUCCACUCCUCCUCUCCUCUUCAGAUUGGUAGCUGGCCCGCUGACUGCGAUUAUGAGAUAUGAGGGCAU